UACGUAGGUGGCAAGCGUUGUCCGGAUUUAUUGGGUUUAAAGGGUGCGUAGGCGGACUGUCAAGUCAGCGGUAAAAUACGGGGGCUCAACCUACGCCCGCCGUUGAAACUGACGGUCUUGAGUGGGCGAGAAGUAUGCGGAAUGCGUGGUGUAGCGGUGAAAUGCAUAGAUAUCACGCAGAACUCCGAUUGCGAAGGCAGCAUACCGGUGCACAACUGACGCUCAGGCACGAAAGCGUGGGUAUCGAACAGG
rnacentral:rRNA from 1 species